ensembl:snoRNA
CUGGCACCCAACCCAAGAGCUGCCACUGCCUGUAGUGGCCGUUUAAGCAGUGGUGCGCACAGCAAAGAGGCUUCGUCGCCUUUGGGGGGCUGUGCAGUGCCCCCCAAAGUGAAUCAGGAGGUUCUACAAUU